UACGUAGGGUGCGAGCGUUAAUCGGAAUUACUGGGCGUAAAGAGCUCGUAGGUGGUUUGUCGCGUUGUUCGUGAAAACUCACAGCUUAACUGUGGGCGUGCGGGCGAUACGGGCAGACUGGAGUACUGCAGGGGAGACUGGAAUUCCUGGUGUAGCGGUGGAAUGCGCAGAUAUCAGGAGGAACACCGGUGGCGAAGGCGGGUCUCUGGGCCAUUACUGACACUGAGAAGCGAAAGCAUGGGGAGCGAACAGG
rnacentral:rRNA from 1 species